GUGCCAGCAGCCGCGGUAAGACGUAGGGCGCGAGCGUUGUCCGGAUUUAUUGGGCGUAAAGAGCUCGUAGGCGGCUUGUUGCGUCGGCUGUGAAAACCCGCAGCUCAACUGUGGGCUUGCAGCCGAUACGGGCAGGCUUGAGUUCGGUAGGGGAGACUGGAAUUCCUGGUGUAGCGGUGAAAUGCGCAGAUAUCGGGAAGAACACCUAUGGCGAAGGCAGCUCUCUGGGCCUUACCUGACGCUGAGGAGCGAAAGCGUGGGGAGCGAACAGGAUUAGAUACCCUUGUAGUCC
rnacentral:rRNA from 1 species